UUCAAGCUGCUGUUUCUUCAGAGCCUGGGAUGAAGAAAUGAUCAGGACUCGUUGAAACAGGGAGGAAUUGGUUCACAAAGCCAUGCCAUGCCAAGUGCUCUGCUCAGGAAAGCGAGCCCCAAGGAUGGAGGCAGAGCAUGGGGUAGGAAAGCUUAGGAAAGCACCAAAGUGCCUGGAGAGCUGCUGCCAGGUCAGGGGUGGUUGACAGAAGCCCUGGUACAGCUUGGCUUUGCACUGUUGUCCAGAGCCUGUCAAACGUGGAACCGAUGCUUUUAAAUGUUUACUUUGCAGGGAAAGCUGGCAGAUGCGCAUUGUCCAGAAGCACCACAGCAGCGGAGAGUGCUUCACCUGGGAGAGGAGGCUCCAGAAGAUGGGAGUGUGGCAGGGCAGUACUGAUAUGAAGCUAGGCUGAUCAACAAACAGCUCUUGACAGGACCGGAAGGAUACGAUACGAACUAUUAUGAUACAUACAAGAUACGUCCUAUGGAGGAAAUGCAAUGGAAAAACAAAGCAGGUGGAGAGUCCACGCAGCUGCAGCCAGCUCUGCCCGUGGCUACGCAAGAGCCCCCCGCGCCGCUUCAGGGCUCGGCUCACACGCGGCUGAGCAAGCGGCACGAGCGGUUUCAGGACAAGACAGCGCGAAGCACCGAAGGAGCUGCAUCCCCCAGCUCUCAGCUCCGUUGUUCUGCUCUUUCGCUGACCUAAACCACCAGGAACGGUUUCUCCCCUUCGCUAUAGGAAGCCAGAGUCACCUAGAUGGAAGCAUUGGUGAGUUAAGGGUGAACCUGACUCAACUGCCCACUUCCCAGUAACAUCCCUCCUCUUACAUCAGGGAGGGACCCUGACAGCUCCUCUGCUGUUCUGCUUUGCCCGGCAAUGCCAAACCAAGAUACUUGGGAUCUCCCAGGUCCAGUUUUGCCUCUUGCCCAAACAGCCCUCUCAGCUCUCAAGCUACUGAGCUGGCAUUUUGGGAGGCAUGCAGGGAAAGUUUGUGUGUUGAAGUCAGUAGGUUUACUCUGGGGGGGCUUUGACACAGUCUUUUCUCAAGCAAACAAAAUAGCAGAAGUGAAAUUGUGAGUAAAUUCCUGACAUUAAGAGCAGUACUGACCUGGGAUUCCGCACCGAGAGGAGUUCUUAGAGCAGUUGUAGGGGAUGCCCUGAAAAUCGCAUGAUUGUGAUCUCACCAUGAGGUUAUUAAAAGAUCCUUAUCCUCCCAACAGAGGAAGUAAUCUGCACAGCAGGCAGGCUUUUGUCAGGGACGUGCAGUUGCCCAUGUUGCCUGUUGGUCAGCCCCAGGAGGGAAGGGCACACGCUUGGUGUCACUGGAAUUUACCUUCUUCAUGCCUGCGUCAUGUCACGGGUGAUGGCCUUUCUCUUCAGUUCUUUUUCUGGAGAGAGGAAAAAAAAAAAAAAAAAAGCAGUUUCACCAGAUUGGCAUCUGCUCUGCGCUAAAGCAGCUUCCUCAACCUGCAGUCCAGGAAUUGAGCUGUGACAAGGGAAACGUACCCAGAGACAUG